rnacentral:rRNA from 1 species
UACGGAGGGGGCUAGCGUUGUUCGGAAUUACUGGGCGUAAAGCGUACGUAGGCGGCUUUGUAAGUUAGAGGUGAAAGCCCGGGGCUCAACUCCGGAAUUGCCUUUAAGACUGCAUCGCUUGAAUCAUGGAGAGGUGAGUGGAAUUCCGAGUGUAGAGGUGAAAUUCGUAGAUAUUCGGAAGAACACCAGUGGCGAAGGCGACUCGCUGGACAAGUAUUGACGCUGAGGUGCGAAAGCGUGGGGAGCAAACAGG